rnacentral:pre_miRNA from 1 species
AUGUAGGGCAAUCUAUCUUGAAGUGGGAUAAAUUACUCUAAAAGAAAUGAAUCCUGCAUAGUUUUCCUUUCUAGUCAAGCAUCUUGU